rnacentral:misc_RNA from 1 species
GAUGAAGAACGUAGUGAAAUGCGAUAAGUAAUGUGAAUUGCAGAAUUCAGUGAAUCAUCGAAUCUUUGAACGCACAUUGCGCCCGCCAGUAUUCUGGCGGGCAUGCCUGUUCGAGCGUCAUUUCAACCAUCAAGCCCCCGGCUUGUGUUGGGGACCUGCGGCUGCCGCAGGCCCUGAAAAGCAGUGGCGGGCUCGCUGUCACACCGAGCGUAGUAGCAUACAUCUCGCUCUGGGCGUGCUGCGGGUUCCGGCCGUUAAACCACCUUCAUAACCCAAGGUUGACCUCGAAUCAGGUAGGAAGACCCGCUGAACUUAAGCAUAUCAAUAAGCGGAGGA